UUCUAUUAGAAUACUUACAGAAUUACUGCCACAUAGAAUAAAUCAUGAAUUCAUAACACUUCAUUUCUAUUUCUACCUUCUUAAGAAAAGAUGAUUGUUCAGAUAAUCUUCUUUAGAUAUAGUUGUUUUAACUUACUCAUAUACAUGGUAAUUUAUUUAAUGAAGUCUGAUUUCUUGCUGUUUUGGUACUAAUUUGAUCCAGUUUCCCUACUGUAUUGUCUUGUGGCAGUCAGGUCUCCUUUAGAGCAGUAUUCUCUUUUCUUGACAUAUUUUGGGUAAACCAAGCUGUAAUGCAGUUUCCUAAUCUCUGAGUGUCAUGCUGUCCUCUUUAGCUUUUUGCAGGACAGGAUGAUCUUACAGAAAGAAAUUCACCCAGUAUUACUUCCACACAAGAGGAGUAAAAUAGGAGUCUGCUUAUACAUAUUUUAAAUUAAAUACUACUGACAUAACUUUUCACACCUUCCCACCUGAAGCCCUUUCUCCAAACUAAUUUGGUCUCAAGUAGAAGCAGCAUCCAGUUGACAAAUUUGUCAUAGAACAGACACCUCAAAUGCUCACAUUUUAAGCAAAAAUACCUAUUUUUUAUUAUUUUUAAUAUAAUUUUAUAUAUGCCAUUUAGCAUCAAGAGAGGGAGAACCUGAUAAUACAGUUUUUGGGAGAAGUAGAUCAAAAAUGCCAUCAGAAGACAUGGGAGUUUUAUGUGUGAUUGCUGCUCCUAGACCCUGAUGAAUCCUCUGAGAACACCUUGGACUGGGCCCACUGAUAGUUCUGUGGGAACACAACCCCUCUUUCUCCCUACAGGAACAAUACAGCGGAAAAUCUGCUAAGACUUUGUCAUGGAAUUUCCAUCCCCCCUGAAAGAUUUUCCAAUACAGGAUUAAUCUGGACAGUUAAUGGCUUCUUAGCUGAGCUUUAACUUUGGUUCAAAAGCACAUGAAUGUUCUCUUGGGUGGAAUAGCAGGCUACUGAAGGAUAUGAAAUAUUUCCUCAAUGGAGGCAUUUACCAAAGCCUCUGUAGGACUUCCAUGAAUCCCUGAAAGCCAAGCCUUCUGAAUAUUCUCAUGUUAAUUUAUAUAGAUGUUUUAAGAAAGGAGUCAUGGAAUCCCAUACCUCAUAUACAUUAAUUUUCCAUCCAGCAGAAUAACUUUGGCCAUCUUGCACUUCAAUGAAAACCUCCUCUGUAAGCAGCGUGUUACUGAAUAAUGGAAAGUUUCGUUUCCAAAAUAUAAUAAAAUUGCAGGAAUAGUGAAGGAAGUGAACAUUACUUGCACUUAUGGUACACUCAUUUAUGCUUUUACGAAUAUGAAUUUGUGGUUUCCUUUUAUGCUGUUGUUUUGUUUAAAGGAAAUCUACUACAGCAUUUAAAACUGGAUUAAAAUGUUUCUUUUGUUUCUGCUUUUGAGCCUUUUACAAAGUAAUUAUGUUUUAAUGUUGGUAUUAUAAAUGUUUAUGCAUAGGCCUAGUCCAAUUACCUCUUAACUUGGUGAAAAGAUCCCUUUGAUGUUGAUGGGAGCAGGAUCAGGCGAAUACAUUAGUAUACAAAAUUUUUAAUGAUCCAUAAAUUAACAAAGACAUUCCUGUCAUCUGAUUUUCCAAUGUAGAUAUGUUACCUAAAUCAAGUAUUUGCAUAAACAGUGGAAUUAAAGAAGCCUUAUUUUAUAUGAAUAUUUUCUGAGGGUGAAUUUCCAUGUGGAUUCUCCUAUGCCUAACCAUGAUUGCACUCACACUGUAGCCUUUGCUGCCAGGACAGCAACGUCUGUAUCCCCUUGACCUUUGAGGCCAGUUAUUUUCAUGAGACUUGUAGGAAAUGUAUACAGAUGAGUCUUUCAGCUCCCUGUUGAAUUUGGGCAGAAAUAGCUAACAGAUUUUCCAGGAGCUGGCAGAUAGGCAACACGAAAGCUUAAAAAUGCUGUAGCUGCAAGCCAUGUUCCUGGGGAAACCGAACUAAAAGUGAAGGAAUGCACACACUGGACUUUGUAUCAUCAGACUUUGAUAAUAUGCUAAAGGAAUGGUUAAUAAGAAACCACAAGUGUAGACUUAAAAGGAACAAGAAGUAAUCUAAGUUUUAAUAAGCAACACAGGAAGCCUGGUUAUCCCUGUAAGCACAGCUCAGCAUUACACAACCUCAUGACUUCCCAGGGGAGGCAUCUUGUUCCACUGAGACCCCAAUGCCUCCCGGAGCUUCCCAGCGUACAGUUGGUAUUUGAAAUAUUUAUGGUACUGCUACAUGCCUUUGGGAACAGUUGACUCCACCAAGAAUUAAGACUUUCUUUAUAAGUCAGAACAGGAUGGGAACAGACCUUGGCUUGGUUCCCUCUGCCCUUUGGUAAGCAAAAUAGGGAAUGAUUUUACUUAAUUUCUGGGGAAUGCACUCUUAAGAAUGAGGAAAGAGUCCUUAACUCAGCUAGAAGAGGGAAAUGAAGAAUUCAGUGUCAGACUUUAGAGUCUUUUUUUCAUUCUUCUUUCUUUCCAUCCUUCUAGUCUCCAUUUUCAAGAAGACUACUGCUGAAGUAAUAGUGACCCGUCUGGUGGCUACAGGAAAGUCUGUGGAUGUUUACCUGGACAACAGGCAGCCCAUGGCUUGGACAGGAACACUCUUCGCUGGGUUAAGAACUGGCUGCUGGCUGGGCCCAGAGAGUGGUGGGGAUUGGUGCUGCAUCCAGUUGGUGUCUCCAGUCACUAGUGGUGUUCCACAAGGAUGGGCCCAGUCCUGUUUAAUACCUUUAUUGAUCAUCCAGAUGCGGGGAUUUGGUUCACCAUUAGCAAGUUUGCGGAUGACACCAAGCUGGAUAUCCACUAAAAGAAUCACAACAGCAAAGGCAAAGACAGAGAUGCAUCUAUGCCUGGCUUCAGCACAUGACAA